GAAAGAGAGCUGCAGGCCAAAUACAAGCACCUCAAAAGAGUUCACCAAGAAAAGAGAAUGAAGCUUGAGGAGAAGAGAAGACUUUUGGAAGAAGAAAUAAUCUCUUUCUCUAAAAAGAAAGCUACCUCCGAGAUAUACCAGAACCAGAGCUUUAUGGGCAGCAACCUGAAGAAGGACAAAGACCGUAAGAACUCCAAUUUUAUGUAAAACAAAGGUUCCAGAUCACAGAAGGUCAUCACAAGCAAAAGUUAUUGAAAAGUUAGAAAUA